AUCCGAUGUAAGUCUUAUACUCCGGAGGACAUCCGAAAAAGCCAUCUUCUAUAGCAGAAGCAAUGAUAUUAGAUA